GCCUCUCUCAAUGACUAGCGGGGCCCACGUUGUCAUCCCGCUGCGCGCUCACCUAACACCCGAGGUCCGAUCGUGGAUCUCCGUGGAUCUCUAGCGGUUAGUUGGCGUGGUCCUGGCUAUAAGACUAUGCCUGGGCACGCAUCUGAAGCCAGCUGAACUCCACGCUUGGGUCGUGCGGCCUAAUCCCUUGAACCUCGCUGCCGCCUGCUAGGGGAAAGGCCUGCCAUUGGCUCUGCUCUCGCCAUGACGGUUGUGGAGCCGAAUUGAAGCCCUUGGACAAUCGGUGGCGAUUACCAAAACCGGCCACAACCUUCCGCUACGGGGAAAUCCACCGUGAGGCCACUAAUUUCUCACCGUCGUUUCCCCUACGCCGUGAUUUUGCCUGGUACUUGGCUGGCCGCAACCAAGCAUUGACUCACGGUCAAGAAUAGGUACCACAUGAUGAGGCGCAUGGAGGAUGCUGCGAUGUGUUCGUGAGAGGUCUAGGUCGUUGUCUCCUAGUCAACUUUGGGUUGCUGGAUCGUUGUCUCCAUAUGAUGUAAUUAUUUAUUUAUUUUGUACAGAACUCCUAUUAUAUAGUAAAGAUGCCACAUUCAUUUCUGUACCAUGAG
rnacentral:lncRNA from 7 species